rnacentral:rRNA from 1 species
CGCUGGCGGCGUGCCUAAUACAUGCAAGUCGAGCGAACGGACGAGAAGCUUGCUUCUCUGAUGUUAGCGGCGGACGGGUGAGUAACACGUGGAUAACCUACCUAUAAGACUGGGAUAACUUCGGGAAACCGGAGCUAAUACCAGAUAAUAUUUUGAACCGCAUGGUUCAAAAGUGAAAGACGGUCUUGCUGUCACUUAUAGAUGGAUCCGCGCUGCAUUAGCUAGUUGGUAAGGUAACGGCUUACCAAGGCAACGAUGCAUAGCCGACCUGAGAGGGUGAUCGGCCACACUGGAACUGAGACACGGUCCAGACUCCUACGGGAGGCAGCAGUAGGGAAUCUUCCGCAAUGGGCGAAAGCCUGACGGAGCAACGCCGCGUGAGUGAUGAAGGUCUUCGGAUCGUAAAACUCUGUUAUUAGGGAAGAACAUAUGUGUAAGUAACUGUGCACAUCUUGACGGUACCUAAUCAGAAAGCCACGGCUAACUACGUGCCAGCAGCCGCGGUAAUACGUAGGUGGCAAGCGUUAUCCGGAAUUAUUGGGCGUAAAGCGCGCGUAGGCGGUUUUUUAAGUCUGAUGUGAAAGCCCACGGCUCAACCGUGGAGGGUCAUUGGAAACUGGAAAACUUGAGUGCAGAAGAGGAAAGUGGAAUUCCAUGUGUAGCGGUGAAAUGCGCAGAGAUAUGGAGGAACACCAGUGGCGAAGGCGACUUUCUGGUCUGUAACUGACGCUGAUGUGCGAAAGC